ACUGAAAACCCGAACGGAUCCGGAAGCGUACCGGUGCUGGCAUUUUCACACGCAUUAUUCGUAAAUAAUCGUAUUGUCACCAAAGUGUUAAUUGGUUUUCUUCCAAAAAUAUGAUUUAACUAACCAUCAUGUUGACAGGUUUACAUGUGUUACAAUGAAAAAUGUGAUUGUACAAAAAAAUAAUGAUUUAGAAUGAUUUGUGAUUGGAAAAUAAUACAUUUAUUCAUCACCCUCCUAUGGACAGGUACCAUAGCAAGUUUUGAUCCUCUGAGUGUAACAGGAAUCGGUGUUGGAGCAGGAUCAAUGUUCUCUGCAAACUGGAAUAAAAUGUUCUGCAUUUUGGGGGAGUGCUGUUAUGAGAUACCACAUAAUUUGACAAUGUUGGAAUCAUCUUUAAAAGAGCAUCUAUUUGGUCAGCAUAUUGCACGUGAUGUUGUUACCCAGGCUAUAAAAGCCCAUUUCAAGGAUCCUCCGCCUGGAAAGGCUUUGGUUCUUAGUUUCAACGGUUUACCUGGAGGUGGAAAGACUUUUGUCAGCCAGUUUAUUAUAAAGAGUUUGUAUAAAUCUGGACUUCAGAGCCAAUAUGUGCACUACUUUAAUGGAAGAACUCAUUUUCCCUUAAAGAGUAAAACUGACAUAUACAAGAUACAUCUAGGUGACUGGAUCAGGGGAAAUGUGAGUCAAUGUGGGAGGUCAUUAUUUCUUUUUGAUGAGGUUGACAAAACACCAGAAGGAGUACUGGAUGGUGUUAAGCCUUUCUUGGACUACCAUGAACAUAUAGAUGGAAUAGAUUUCAGGAAGGCAACAUUUAUUUUUGUGUCUAAUACUGGAAGCCAGAUUAUUGCUGAGAAGCUACUGGAAUUUUGGGAAAAAGGAGGGAAGAGAGAAAAUCUCCAGCUUAGUGAUUUUGAGGAUUUACUUAGGAAAGGCCUUUUUAAUGAAAAAGGGGGCUUCUACAAGAGUGACACCAUAGAGAGUAACCUUAUAGACCAUUAUGUACCAUUUCUACCACUAGAAGAAUCCCAUAUAAGGCAAUGCAUUGAAGCAGAAUUUCAUCAUAGAGGGAAGGAAAUUCCACAUGAGGAAGUUUAUAAAGAAGUGUUGAAAGGUGUGACAUUUGGUCCAGGAUCAUUAAGACUGUUCGCCCAUUCUGGCUGCAAGCGAAUCAGUUCGAAAGUAGCUGCUUUGUUGGAAAGCCCCCUUUUUACAGGGUAACAGAAGGGAAUAAGUGCAAGAUUUUGGGUUCUCACAAUGGCAACUGUGAAGAGUGCUGUCUUCUGGGAUGUGAUGAUGUAUAGUCUGGUGGAAGUGUACCAAUUUUCAACAUUUAGAAAAUAAUUAUAACAAAUGUUUAAAUGUUAAGUAUGUGAAACCAGUCUGAUAAGUUUAACUAUGCAAUGGAAGGUGAGAAACUGUCAGCAGUUUUCCGCUUGAAUGGUAGCAUCAUGUUCCAGACAAGCAAUUACUUUUCAAGGCCAGAAGUGCAGCAGCCACUGUGGGAAUCAGGACAUUCUGUUAGGCUGUUGCACUUUUUCCUUCAACCUCAAACGCUUAACAAAGCACGUGAUUAUAAAGUUCUGAUGGUUGAUAGAAGGAUCAUGGAUCUAAAGGAACAAUGGCAAGAGAUAUAACUUUAGAUAUCUCUCACUGAGGACUUUCUAAGUGAUGGGUUGCUAGUUGCUUUUCUUGUGAAGUGCGAAACAAGCUUGGAAUCCUCCCAUCUACAUUUCAUUGUGCAUCUGUCAAGUUUCCGAACAUGACCAAUAAUACAGUGUGUUCAGGAAGAAGUACAGUUUUGGUUUCCACAAGUUCAGCCAUGAUUUCUGUGCUCGCAACACUGGCUUGGUUUUUUGCCAUCCAUCUGAUUUUUACGGCUA